rnacentral:rRNA from 1 species
UUGACCUCGAAUCAGGUAGGAAUACCCGCUGAACUUAAGCAUAUCAAUAAGCGGAGGAAAAGAAACCAACAGGGAUUGCCCCAGUAACGGCGAGUGAAGCGGCAACAGCUCAAAUUUGAAAUCUGGCUCUCGGGCCCGAGUUGUAAUUUGUAGAGGAUGCUUUUGGUGAGGUGCCUUCCGAGUUCCCUGGAACGGGACGCCAUAGAGGGUGAGAGCCCCGUCUGGUUGGACACCGAUCCUCUGUAAAGCUCCUUCGACGAGUCGAGUAGUUUGGGAAUGCUGCUCUAAAUGGGAGGUAUAUGUCUUCUAAAGCUAAAUACCGGCCAGAGACCGAUAGCGCACAAGUAGAGUGAUCGAAAGAUGAAAAGAACUUUGAAAAGAGAGUUAAAAAGUACGUGAAAUUGUUGAAAGGGAAGCGCUUGUGACCAGACUUGGGCUUGGGUUGAUCAUCCGGGGUUCUCCCCGGUGCACUCUUCCGGCUCAGGCCAGCAUCAGUUCGCCCUGGGGGAUAAAGGCUUCGGGAAUGUGGCUCUCUCCGGGGAGUGUUAUAGCCCGCUGCGUAAUACCCUGUGGCGGACUGAGGUUCGCGCAU